GGUGAACGCUGGCGGCGUGCCUAACACAUGUAAGUCGUGCGACGAACUUGGAGGAUUUUAUUUCGGUAGAAUUCUCCGGGGGAAAGCGGCGGGACGGGUGAGUAAGACUUAAGUAAUCUACCCCAAGGAUUGGGGAUAAUUCGCUGAAAGGCGGACUAAUACCAGAUAAUCUUUUCUGAUGGCAGCAUCAGAAAAGCAAAGGUCUGUUUUUAACAGACUGCCAUGGGAUGAGCUUGAGACCUAUCAGCUAGUUGGUAAGGUAAUGGCUUACCAAGGCGAAGACGGGUAGCUGGUCUGAGAGGACGACCAGCCACAUGGGGAUUGAGACACGGCCCCGACUCCUACGGGAGGCAGCAGUGGGGAAUAUUGGACAAUGCCCGAAAGGGUGAUCCAGCGACGCCGCGUGGGUGAUGAAGGCCUUCGGGUCGUAAACCCUGUCAAGUGGGAAGAAUUUCGUUUAUACGAAUGACAGUACUAACUAAAGGAAGACCCCGGCUAAUUCCGUAGCCAGCAGCCGCGGUAAACACGAGACG
rnacentral:rRNA from 1 species